rnacentral:rRNA from 1 species
UACAGAGGGUGCAAGCGUUGUUCGGAAUUAUUGGGCGUAAAGCGCGUGUAGGCGGCUUUGCAAGUCGGGUGUGAAAGCCCUCAGCUUAACUGAGGAAGUGCGCCCGAAACUGCAUGGCUUGAGUACCGGAGAGGAUGGUGGAAUUCCCGAAGUAGAGGUGUAAUUCGUAGAUAUCGGGAGGAACACCGGUGGCGAAGGCGACCAUCUGGACGGAUACUGACGCUGAGACGCGAAAGCGUGGGUAGCAAACAGG